rnacentral:rRNA from 1 species
UUAAUACCGGACAUUCUCCAUCUUCCGCAUGGUUGGUGGUGGAAAGUUUUUCGGCCAGGGAGGGGCUCGCGGCCUAUCAGCUUGUUGGCGGGGUAACGGCCCACCAAGGCGACGACGGGUAGCCGGCCUGAGAGGGCGACCGGCCACACUGGGACUGAGACACGGCCCAGACUCCUACGGGAGGCAGCAGUGGGGAAUAUUGCGCAAUGGGCGAAAGCCUGACGCAGCGACGCCGCGUGGGGGGAUGAAGGCCUUCGGGUUGUAAACCCYUUUCACCAGGAGCGAAAACAGACGGUACCUGGGGAAGAAGCGCCGGCUAACUACG